CGCGCCAAAGUUAGCGUUUCUGAUUGCUCCGGCGAGAAGUAUGAUGUAUUAGGGUUCGAAAUUUUUGGUGGCCCACGAUGCUGUAGGCAAUUGCAGAGUUUUGAAGACGAUUACGUGUUGGCAGUGGUUUCUGUUGAAGCGUGAAUUAAGUAGCUACCUAAACAAUCUUUAUCGUGUUUUGCAUAAGCAUGUCAACGGUUUCAAAACAUGUAGCAGUGGUUUGCUUCUAUCAGCUCUUCCGUUUCAGAUCCACAAAGUCGAAAGAAAAUACAAAAGA